UACGUAGGGCGCAAGCGUUAUCCGGAAUUAUUGGGCGUAAAGAGCUCGUAGGCGGUUUGUCGCGUCUGCUGUGAAAGACCGGGGCUCAACUCCGGUUCUGCAGUUGGGUACGGGCAGACUAGAGUGCAGUAGGGGAGACUGGAAUUCCUGGUGUAGCGGUGAAAUGCGCAGAUAUCAGGAGGAACACCGAUGGCGAAGGCAGGUCUCUGGGCUGUAACUGACGUGAGGAGCGAAAGCAUGGGGAGCGAACAGG
rnacentral:rRNA from 1 species